GGAGAGGUAGCGAAGCUGGCCGUAACGCGCCCGACUCGAAAUCGGGUUGUCCCAGAGAUGGGGCACGUGGGUUCGAAUCCCACCCUCUCCGCCA
rnacentral:tRNA from 1 species